rnacentral:rRNA from 1 species
CCUACGGGAGGCAGCAGUGAGGAAUAUUGGUCAAUGGACGAGAGUCUGAACCAGCCAAGUAGCGUGAAGGAUGACUGCCCUAUGGGUUGUAAACUUCUUUUAUAUGGGAAUAAAACGUUCCACGUGUGGGAUUUUGUAUGUACCAUAUGAAUAAGGAUCGGCUAACUCCGUGCCAGCAGCCGCGGUAAUACGGAGGAUCCGAGAGUUAUCCGGAUUUAUUGGGUUUAAAGGGAGCGUAGGUGGAUUGUUAAGUCAGUUGUGAAAGUUUGCGGCUCAACCGUAAAAUUGCAGUUGAAACUGGCAGUCUUGAGUACAGUAGAGGUGGGCGGAAUUCGUGGUGUAGCGGUGAAAUGCUUAGAUAUCACGAAGAACUCCGAUUGCGAAGGCAGUUCACUGGACUGCAACUGACACUGAGGCUCGAAAGUGUGGGUAUCAAACAGGAUUAGAUACCCCUGUAGUC